rnacentral:rRNA from 1 species
AACGAACGCUGGCGGCGUGCCUAACACAUGCAAGUCGAACGAGACCUUCGGGUCUGGUGGCUCCCCGGUGCGUAACGCGUUGGGACAUGCCCGUGGGUUCUGCCUAGCUCCCCGGAAGGGGUGCUACUACCGGAUAAUAUCUUCGGACCGAAGAUGUAUCGGCUUUGGAUGGGGCCGCGUUGUAUUAGCUAGUUGGUAGGGUAAAAGCCUACCAAGGCGAUGAUCCAUAGCUGGUCUGAGAGGCUGCUCAGCCACACUGGGACUGGGACACGGCCCAGACGCCUACGAGAGGCAGCAGUAGUGAAUAUUGGACCACGGGCGAGAUCCUGAGCCAGCAAUGCCGCGUGAACGAUGAAGGCCUUAGGAUUGUAAAUCUCUUUUACCCGGGAUGAUAAUGACAGUACCGGGAGAAUAAGCUCCGGCUAACUCCGUG